rnacentral:rRNA from 1 species
CCCUUAGAUGUUCUGGGCCGCACGCGCGCUACACUGGUGCAUUCAACGAGUUUCUUCCUGGUCCGAGAGGAAUGGGUAACCUUUUGAAAGUGCAUCGUGAUAGGGAUAGACUAUUGCAAUUAUUGGUCUUCAACGAGGAAUUCCUAGUAGACGUAGUUCAUCAGACUGCAUCGAUUACGUCCCUGCCCUUUGUACACACCGCCCGUCGCUCCUACCGAUUGAAUGAUCCGAUGAAUAUCAUGGAUUGAGGAUGCAAGUAGGUUCGCCUAUCUUCAUCUUCGAGAAGUGAAGUAAAUCUUAUCAUUUAGAGGAAGGAGAAGUCGUAACA